rnacentral:tRNA from 1 species
GCCGUCGUAGCUCAGUGGUGGAGCACCCGGCUGUUAACCGGGCGGUCGCCGGUUCGAGCCCGGCCGACGGCG